rnacentral:rRNA from 1 species
GGGCCAGACUCCUACGGGAGGCAGCAGUGGGGGAUAUUGCACAAUGGGGGGAACCCUGAUGCAGCGACGCCGCGUGGGUGAAGGAGCGUUUCGGCGCGUAAAGCCCUAUCGGCAGGGAAGAAGGAGGACGGUACCUGACUAAGAAGCCCCGGCUAACUACGUGCCAGCAGCCGCGGUAAUACGGAGGAUGCGAGCGUUAUCCGGAUUUAUUGGGUGUAAAGGGAGCGUAGGCGGGGAUGCAAGUUGGGUGUUAAAUCUACCGGCUCAACUGGUAGUCGCACUCAAAACUGCAGCUCUUGAGUGAAGUAGAGGCAGGCGGAAUUCCUAGUGUAGCGGUGAAAUGCGUAGAUAUUAGGAGGAACACCAGUGGCGAAGGCGGCCUGCUGGGCUUUUACUGACGCUGAGGCUCGAAAGUGUGGGGAGCAAACAGGAUUAGAUACCCUCGUAG